GAUCAAAUCAUAUUCCAUUUAUUCACUAAAAUAAAAUAAAAUAAAAAAACAUUCUCUAUUUGUUACAAGAAAAGAGAUAGACAUAGACAUAUGGCUAAAAUUUUCAAGUUUUUUUAUGCUAUGAUUUUAUUUAUUUUCCUAUUGAUUAAUUCAAAGGGAAUUGAUGGUAAGCCAUAUAUUUAUCCUUUUUAAGUUUUAAAUUUCCUUUUCUUAUUUUAGUUCGUAUGUAAUUUUCAAUUAAGUAACAUAAUUUUACUCUUUAAUUUUUUUUUACAGCACAUAUUGACUGUAAUACUGAUUCUGGUUGUCCGAGAAGUUUAUGCGCAUUUCGUUUUAUUCCUAAGUGUAUUGACCGCAUAUGUAAAUGUGAAAAAGUGAAGCCACAUAUUGUAUGAGUAUCAGACCAAAAAAUACACAAAUAUUAUAAAAUCUAAAAAAUGCUAGCUAGAUUUUUUUGUAUUUUAUAUUUAUAGGGUCAUGUUAAACAGUGCACCCGGUGUGCACUUGUUAAGUAUACACAAAAUAGAAAUAAAACAUAAAGUUAAUGUAGAUAAUUAAAAACAACUUUUUACACUUUCAAUGCAUUGAAUGCGUGAGUUUCAAGACAAAAUUUUCUUAUUUAUGUGUUUAACCAGUGCACCAGGUACACUAUUUAACAUUUUCCAUAUUUAUAUAGUGCAUUUAAUUACAUUAGAAAUGGGGGAAUGAAUUCUCCCAAGUGUAAUUUAUACUUGAGAGAAUCUAAAUCAAUUUCUCUAAAUUUUUAUACGUUUCUCUCUCUUAAUCGAUGAUAAUAAAUCAUAUUUUAUUCUCUCGAGUGUAAUUAUGUAUGAAUUGAUAAUUUUAUUAAGCACAAUAAUAUUCCCUCGAAAUUAUUCGAACCUCCAUAAAAAAAUGACCGAUACGAAGAAAAGUGUUUAGAUUAAUAAUUUUUUUUAAGACUAGAUUAAUAAAUUUGUUUGUUAGAAAUGUGUAUGAUUAUUAUUACUAUUAUCAUUUGUUUUAAAUGUAUUUAAUGUUGAAUUUUUCUCUUGCAAUGAAAAUUUGAUUUAGAAAUUAAGCAUCUUAAGCUUUACAUAAAAUGAUCAUUUAAACUAUUUGUUCAAUUUCUAAAUGUCUUUGUUGAUUAUAUAAAAACAAAAACUAAAAGUAAACAUACAUGUUUUAGUCCUAUAAAAUUAAAAUGCCAUAUUUUCGUUUCUAUAAAAUUACCAAAUUUUGUUUUUUGUCUCUAUAAAAAAGAGACAUCUUUUGAUCCUAGCAGCUUUAACAGAUCAAAUAUGAGUUAAAUAGCAGAGACUAAAAUUACGUGCAUAAUUCUAGCACUAGGCUACUUGACAAAAAACUUACAUGCAUAAUAAUUUUGUAGGAACCUAAAGGAGGAAAAUUUUCUGGUUUUUCAAGACUUUUUUGGAAAUUUUAGAUUAUAUUGAGAAUUUAGGGAUUUUAAUAUUUUGAGAUGAUAUAUAUUUUAGGUUUAUGGGAAAUGAUUUUGAUUUGUUUGACUUGGUUGAUUUUGACACUAGUGUUUUUAAAUUUUUUGGGAUUUUGACGAAGAUGAUGAAAAUGAUGAACACAAUAAAGAUGGUGAUGAAGAUUAUGAACACAAGAAAAUAUGAUUUCCUAGGUAAGAAUUAGGGCAUACAACGAUCCCUUUCAACAAGCAGAUAACACUGCUAUUGUCGCUCUAAAUUAUCACUUCUCUGAAGCAACAAUCGAUGGCCAGUAAAUAGCAUGGUAGACCGCACAAGCUUCUGCAGUGAUCGGAUCAUCAAACACUACAAAAAAGCUGGAAAGCGGCGACCACUGAAAAAAAGCAUUAGCGUCGGUUUUUUCCGUCGCUAAUUGACUAAUGCAGCAGUUGGA
rnacentral:lncRNA from 1 species